UAGAUAUCCAUAAUAAAGGCUAGAUGUCUUACGGCGGAGUCUCAAACGUCAUCACCGGCGGCCAUCUUGCCUCAGGCAAGCUUUCUGGCGUGCUCUGUGGUACCUAAUGUAAGGAUUUGUUGAGCGACGGGCUCUGAAGAAGCUGUCCUGUGAUGUCUGCCGUGCCAGCUUGGUAACAGAUGCUGCAUCUGCCAUCAAGGACCAGAGCUACCACCUGCUGAAGUUAAAAAACAAUGGAAAUCUGGUGAUUCCAUCAGAAGGCACAGUGAUGGUAGUCAGGGCAGCAGAGUGGGUCAUUCGUCAGACCUGUCUAUGGCAAAGACAGCCACCACCAUACGCUGUUAACGUUGGUUGUGUCCUUGUUUUUUUUAAGUUAAGGCUGCACCACAUUGCCAAAAUAACUAACCUUAGCUUACAGAGCAACAACAUGCAACAGAAGCUCAAUAAAACCGUCCUUUUCAAAGGGCAUUAGCCAA